ACAAAGUCCCAAAUAUUACACAUUAAUGGAUCUCAAAAGUUGGAUGCAAUUUUUUUUUAAAUUGAUUGGAAAAAAAAUUGGAAAAGGAAAUUAAAAUGAAAAAUAAAAUAAAAAUAUUAAUAAAUGCAAAAAUGAUUUUUAAAAUUAUGGAAAAAAUGUAUACGAUGAAAAAUAUUUUUAGAGAUAUUGUACAAAAAAAUUGGGAUAAAAAAUGUUUAAAUAUG
rnacentral:lncRNA from 1 species